CACACACAUGCUGACUCAGCUCCUGCCAGGAGGCCACCAGCAGCACGUCCAGGUUUGCCCAGAGCUGCAGGAGCACCAGGGCCUGAGGAGGCAAGCCCGUGGGAGUGGCCGACUGCCAUCAUGGCACGGGCCAUCCCUGGAUUCUCCGGCGGCUGCAUCUCCCGGGUGUUGGGCUGGCGAGACCUAAGCAGAGCCCCUCUGCCUUUGAGCAGCACUGGCAGAGCAGCGCAUCCAGGCUAGGAACCCAACCCCCCACCGAGCACCUGUGUGAGCUGGAGGACGCCCUGCAGAAACUCAUCAGGCUCCAGCAGCAGCAGG